UACGAAGGGGGCUAGCGUUGUUCGGAAUCACUGGGCGUAAAGCGCACGUAGGCGGAUCUUUAAGUCAGGGGUGAAAUCCCGAGGCUCAACCUCGGAACUGCCUUUGAUACUGGGGAUCUCGAGUCCGGGAGAGGUGAGUGGAACUGCGAGUGUAGAGGUGAAAUUCGUAGAUAUUCGCAAGAACACCAGUGGCGAAGGCGGCUCACUGGCCCGGUACUGACGCUGAGGUGCGAAAGCCAGGGGAGCAAACGGG
rnacentral:rRNA from 1 species